GCUCCAGUGGCUUAGUGGUUAUUGCGUCCGCCUUGGAUGCGGGAGGUCAUUGGUUCGAUACCUGGUCGAGUCA